GAGAAGAUGAUGAGAGAGAAAUAUAACAGAUUGUAUAGCCAUUUUUAAAGAAAAAGUGGAGGAAAGAAAGAAGAAAUGGGAAGAGAGAACUGCACCGGAUCACUCCCAAGCCAUCUCAUUUUUUUCACUCUACAAAAAAAUAAUUGUAUAGCCAUUUUUAAAGAAAAACUUCUAUUUUUACAUCAAAGCCCUUUAUACGAAAGCUGUUUAAGGUGAAGUCAAAUUUUAUUCUCUCUCCUCUCCUCUUCUCUCCUCUCCUCGUUCCUUUUUUCUAUUCUUCCCCAACCCAGUUUCAUUCGCAUGUGCGGUAUUCUUCUCCAGCCUCUUUCGAAGUCGAUUUUCUCCGACGAAGGAUGAGGAUUGUCGUCUCUACCGAAACAUCUUUGGGUCUCUCAAGCUAAGGGUUCGAUUCGAACAGACACUCCCCACAACUUCUGGAUUUGAAAUUGCUGUUGUAAAGAAUAAAUUGAGGAAGAAAAAUAGGGUUUGGAAGGAAUGAAGUCUCUUCGUAUUUCUGCAUCUAAAAAAGGCUAUUGUACAAUUUAAUUCUUUCACCAAUCAAAAGUGCAUUGCGUGGCCUAGCCAUGUAGGCUGACGAGGCCAUUUUCUCUAUUUUCCAUUGUAAUUGCUCUUUAGGAGUCGGUGUCCAACGUACACAAGAUCUUCAAAAGAUAAAGUAAGGAUCUUGAUUUCACAAUGAACCCUAAACUGCGAGUUUCGUAGCGGAGGGGACAAGAAAGACAUCAACAAGUGACAUGAUGCCAAUAAAGAAGCAAACUAAGUGAAUACCAGCUCUUUUCUUG